rnacentral:rRNA from 1 species
AGCGAACGCUGGCGGCAUGCCUAACACAUGCAAGUCGAACGAACCUUUCGGGGCUAGUGGCGGACGGGUGAGUAACACGUGGGAACGUGCCUUUAGGUUCGGAAUAACUCAGGGAAACGUGUGCUAAUACCGAAUGUGCCCUUCGGGGGAAAGAUUAAUCGCCUUUAGAUCGGCCCGCGUCUGAUUAGCUAGUUGGUUGAGGUAAUGGCUCACCAAGGCGACGAUCAGUAGCUGGUCUGAGAGGAUGAUCAGCCACAUUGGGACUGAGACACGGCCCAAACUCCUACGGGAGGCAGCAGUGGGGAAUCUUGCGCAAUGGGCGAAAGCCUGACGCAGCCAUGCCGCGUGAAUGAUGAAGGUCUUAGGAUUGUAAAGUUCUUUCACCGGGGACGAUAAUGACAGUACCCGGAGAAGAAGCCCCGGCUAACUCCGUG